ACUCAAAUGAAUUGACGGGGACCCGCACAAGCAGCGGAGCAUGUGGUUUAAUUCGAAGCAACGCGAAGAACCUUACCAAGGCUUGACAUCCUCUGACCGGCAUAGAAAUAUGUUUUCCCAGCAAUGGGCAGAGAGACAGGUGGUGCAUGGUUGUCGUCAGCUCGUGUCGUGAGAUGUUCGGUUAAGUCCGGCAACGAGCGCAACCCUUAUGAUAUGUUGCCAAUAUUAAGUUAGGAACUCAUAUCAGACUGCCGUGGAUAACACGGAGGAAGGUGGGGAUGACGUCAAAUCAUCAUGCCCCUUACGUCUUGGGCAACACACGUGCUACAAUGGGCGCUACAAAGUGCAGCGAGCGUGCAAACGUAAGCGAAUCACAGAAAAGCGUUCUCAGUUCAGAUUGUGGGCUGCAACCCGCCCGCAUGAAGCAGGAGUUGCUAGUAAUCCCGAAUCAGAAUGUCGGGGUGAAUGCGUUCCCGGGUCUUGCACACACCGCCCGU
rnacentral:rRNA from 1 species